GGAGCUUGAAUAAAUGUUUGGUUGAGCUUGACACCCAAUGAGAAACCCUUGAUCGGCUUAUCUAUAAUAUUGAAUUUUAAUAAUCUGAAAUCAUUUACUUUACUUGCAUGUCACAACUCAAUUCAAAACCCCAUUUUUAGUUUUAGCUAAGUUGAAAACUUAUAAGAAUAAAGUGUAGACUGGUCCUCUGGAUUGAAUCUCAAAUACUAUAAUUACCACUG
rnacentral:lncRNA from 1 species